rnacentral:rRNA from 1 species
AGAGUUUGAUCAUGGCUCAGGAUGAACGCUAGCUACAGGCUUAACACAUGCAAGUCGAGGGGAAACGACAUCGAAAGCUUGCUUUUGAUGGGCGUCGACCGGCGCACGGGUGAGUAACGCGUAUCCAACCUGCCCACCACUUGGGGAUAACCUUGCGAAAGUAAGACUAAUACCCAAUGAUAUCUCUAGAAGACAUCUGAAAGAGAUUAAAGAUUUAUCGGUGAUGGAUGGGGAUGCGUCUGAUUAGCUUGUUGGCGGGGUAACGGCCACCAAGGCGACGAUCAGUAGGGGUUCUGAGAGGAAGGUCCCCCANAUUGGAACUGAGACACGGUCCAAACUCAUACGGGAGCA